rnacentral:lncRNA from 1 species
GAUAUCUUAAGGGGUAGGUCUAUAUCUUACCUUUUGAUUUGUUUUAUUUUUCAAUCUUCCAUGGCACCUGACUCAACACUUUGCACAGAGAAUGAAAGAUGGAAGAAAUGAAGUAGUGGACAAGCAAACAUCAAUGUGGAGACAGAUUCUCAUUUUCCCCAUUUGGUCUUGGCUGCUUAAGAAAAGGUGAAAAGCAGGAGAAGAUGCUUCCCGGUACUGCAACGUAGGGCAAAGUGGAGCUGACAAAUGGAAAGAAUGUGACCUUGGGAAUGAGAUUCUUGCCUUUUCUGAGGUGCCCCAGCUUUGUCCCUGAAUAUGUGCUUAAUCUGCCAGCCAGGGAUCCAGAAGCACCAUCUCCCUGUCUGCAUUCUGAUCACCCACCUCACUUCCAGAGCAUGAGAGAACCACGAUGAAGAAAGUCAUGUGCUAAGAAAGGCAGAGAAGAAAAGCUGAAGAAAUCUGGGUGAUUGACAGAAACCAUGAUUAAUGACAUCACGGAGCUACUAGACCAGCCCGGGCCUGCCUGUCUCCAUGCUUCUUGGAACGUGAGAAAAAUAAACUGUAUUUGAUUAUGUUCCUUUAUUCAGGUUCUCUUACAUGCAGGUGAAUAUAAUCCCUAACUGAUGUUCAUACUACAUAUUAUCAAAUCUAGAAUGCUGUAGAUUUUAAGAUGCCCCUUUUUUUAAAUUAUACUUUAAGUUUUAGGGUACACGU